UGUUUUACUACAACAGACACUGCUGCAAAUCUGCUCGAUAGACAUUCAGACGAUCACCAUGAUCCGAGCAGCCAGUAUUAUAUGGGUUCUAAUGAUAUGUCCUGGAGGUUUUUCUCAGAGUAAUCGUGUUAAACAGAAUCCUCCUGAUCUCUUUGGCAACCAUCAAAACUCUGUUAAAAUCCAGUGUGAACACAGUGAACCAAGUUAUAAUCAGAUCAACUGGUACAGACAAGACCAGGGACUGACCUUUAUUGGAUAUCAGCGGGUUAAAUCAUCAACACAAAUCGAAAAUGAUUUUAAGACUAAAGUGGAGAUUGUUGGGGAUGGAAGCAAAAACGUCUCUUUGACCAUCAAAAAUCUUUUAUCCAAUGACAGUACAGUGUACUUCUGUGCUGCUUAUUACACAGUGCUGCAUAUCUGCUUUAUUCAAUACAAAAACUUCUGUGUAAUUAUUUUCAGUAUAACAAUAACACCUGCUCUUGUGGCCUGGAAUUGACACAUUGCCAGUGUUUUUAACAGAAAAGCCACACAUACAUUAUUACAGGCAAUAGUAUAAUUGAUUGUUCAACAAUCACAAUGAAACUGCAUUACAGACAUGAUAUUAAAAUUAAAGACAACUUUUGAUUCAAAUAAAAUCAUAGGAUUUAAUAAUUACAAAGCAAAACAAUUCAAUAUUCAC